rnacentral:rRNA from 1 species
CAGUAGCCGCGGUAACACCAGCACCUCGAGUGGUCAGGAGGUUUAUUGGGCCUAAAGCAUCCGUAGCCGGUUGCAUAAGUUUUCGGUUAAAUCUAUGCGCUUAACGUAUAGGCCGCCGAAAAUACUGUGCAGCUAGGGAGUGGGAGAGGUACACGGUACUCGAUAGGAAGGGGUAAAAUCCUUUGAUCUAUUGAUGACCACCUGUGGCGAAGGCGGUGUACCAGAACACGUUCGACGGUGAGGGAUGAAAGCUGGGGGAGCAAGCCGGAUUAGAUACCCCCGUAGUCCCUGUCUCUUAUAC